UCUCCGUUGGUGAACCAGCGGAGGGAUCAUUACUGGAAUCGCAAGAUCCCACAACCCUGUGAACCUACCGAAACGUUGCCUCGGCGGGUGCCCGGCCCCCGCGCCAGGCGCUGCGCCCGCCGGCGGCCCCCUACUCUGUCUCUGCAGCGUGGCAUCUCAGAGUCCCAGAAAACAAGUCAAAACUUUCAACAACGGAUCUCUUGGCUCUA
rnacentral:misc_RNA from 1 species